UAUCUUUAUUUAUUAUUGUAUUUGUUUUUAUUUAUUUAUGUGUUCUAUUUGACGCUGUAAGGUUUGCAUCUGGAAAAUGUCCAAGAGAUUCAUGCACUGAAAUCUUGAGACCAAAUGCAGGAAUGUUCAGAGGUGGGGCUUUGGGAAUAUGAUUAGAUCAUGAGGACUGUAACCUCAUCACUGUAUUAAUCCACUGAUGGAUUCAUAAUUGGAUGGCAUUAUUGGGAGGUCAUGGAAACUCUAGGAGGUGGGGCCUAGGUGGAGGAAACAUCAAUGUAGGCAUGCUUCUAGCCCCUUCCUCACUUUCUCCCUCUGUUUUCCAACUGCCAUGAGGCAAGCAGCUCUGUUCUGUUAUAUGUUCCAUGCUGUGAUGUUCUGCCUCCCCACAAGGCCAACCAAUCAUGGAAUGAAAUCUCUAAAACCAUGAGUCAAAAUAAAUCCUUCCUCACUUUAGUUGUUUUUAUCAUGUAUUGUUACUGUGGCAGAAAACUGACUAACACAACAGCCCCCACAAAUAGAAGGUAAGUUCCACGAAGAAAGGAAGACUUUCUACCUGUUACUGCUAUAUCAUUAGUUCAUUGUUAAAUGUGUGACAUUUAACAGAUAGUUGUUAAAUGAAUAUAUAAAACUGAAAUAGUAGGUGCUUAAUCAAUUUAAAAAUACAUUUUGGGACCUGUGUAGGUUAAAAGUGAGGAAAACUCAAGUUAAUUUUCUUUCAACUAAGCUUCUUUUUCCCAUUUACAGAGAAGAAAAUUCUGUUCAAGGAGAGUAUACUGUAGGGCUUGAAAAACAUCCAUCAGAGUAGUUCUACAGGCAUUAGUAUUUCUCUCUGGCUUUUUUUUUAAUCUAAUGCAGCAUUAAAAAAAAAAAAAAAAAAAAAAACAUGUCUUGUUGAAUGAUACAAAGCAUUAUCCAAAGCACAGGGGGGUGUCUGAGAAGGUAGGUUUAGUAGCAUUGUAAUAUGAUUACAUUGUUUUGAAAUUCAUUACUUUUUCAUCUGAAUGAAUAUGAAACCCAGAAUAUUAAUACAAUGAAGACUGGCAGUUGAUGACCCUACAGAAGCUGCUCCAAGUUGCUGAUAAAACAAGGACAGUGGUACUUCUAAAUCUCAGAGUUGUUUGUAGGUGUCUUAUUUUUAAUCAAGAUUUGUAAGUAAUGGUGCAUGAGCUGUUCUCUGGCCAUUGUUAUUCAACACCAUCACCUACUAUUGUCUGCAAUCUUAAAUGGGCUGUCUCAUCAAUCAAACCUCCCCUUCCCAUAUUCACAGUACCUGGAGAAUCAACAAAGCAUGUAAAAUCAGCACUUUACUUGGUCCUUGAGAAGGUACUCCUUUAGACAUGAUGAGAGCCCCUUCCUUCUCCACAGCUCCUCAGACAAUUUAUAGCCCAUUCUGCACUUGACUUUUACAAAUACCAUCUUCAGAUAUAACAAGACCCCCUAGGGUUGAAGGGUGAAAAGGGGUUCUGAGGAAUGCCAUUUCCUUUUUUGAUGCCUUGGUGCCUGAGUGCCACGUGAAAGAUUUAAUACCAACUCUAUUCCUCUGAUGCAUAUGACAAUAUAAUAUCCUCUAACUGCAUCUGUUAUGUCUUUGUACAAAGAGGAAAAAUAUUCUUUGCAGCAGGACUACAAAAUUACACACAUUACAACUGAAUAUUCAGGUAUGAAAAUAGAUGUUCUUAUUUGCUGGGGAAAAAAAGCAACUGGAAAUUGUUUUUGUUUUUGUUUCAUGUUUCACAUAACAUGGGGCUGAAGGAGAAGGACUUAGUAAUUUUACAGGUGUCUUAAAAUACAUAGCUCAUGGAUAUUUGAUAGGAAUAUUUCAGCAUAGUGACACAAAAGUUACUUCAAGUAAACAAUGGAUAAAUCCAUGUUACCUCACUUUCAGUAGUAUUACAGAAAAGUUAAAGGCUGAUGAAUAGCUUUCUCCCCCUUUUAACAGCAUCUAUUUUUCUUUUUACCACUUUUGGCCAUCCAAAGUUGACUAGAGCUGUAAUCCAUCUAUGUACUAUUUACUUUAAGUGAAUUUUGUAAGUAUGUGAAACAUCUGGCUUCCUAUCUGUCCAAAUAUGACCAUUUGCAUGUAAGGGUAGGACAUAUGCCAUUUGCAAGCUGUCAGGCACUAUGUGGUCACUAAGUAAAUUUAAACUAAGUGCAAUAAAAAUGGCUAUCAAUUGUUAAAGAGUAAAAUAAUUUAUUAAGUAUCUGCCUAUCUUCCAUUGUGAUAUGACUCAUUUCUCUUAUCCUUACUUCCAAAGAAUAAUCAUUUUCAAUAACCAAUAAUGUCACAAACCAACCUGAUAAUUGGUGAGGGAACAUACAAACAUUUCUUUCUUCUUUUUUUGGUAAAUAGGAUGCUGCCAUGUUCAUAAGACAUGCCUUUCCUCCCUGUGGAAAUACCCUUGCUCAAUUUUUGUUGUGGAAAGGCAAGUAUCAGCUUUUGUGUCUAUAUGCCCAAUGUGGAAUUUUAUCCUUCUAAAACAGACUAACCCAUCUGGGAAUGGAGCUUACACUUUUAGUCUCACAAAAUGUUCAGAACCAACAAAUCCAGUUUAGGGCAACAUCCCCAACAUGCUCUUUUUCUUUGCCCACUAAGGCACUAAGCAUUCUGCAUUAUCAUGUUUAUCUUGGGCUUAAUAAAGUAUCAGGACAGACUAAGUGACAAAUGCAAAAUGUAAAAAAUUUCUCAAGUAAUAAUUAAAAUCAUGGUUUUCAGUCUGUAUGUGUAAGAAUACCAAGUAAUAGUCUCAGAAAAAUAGAGGAUAAUGACUACAUUCAUCUUUAGAUCUUUCCUCAUGAUUUUGUCCAUAAGUAGUGAUUAAGUAUAACAAAUUAAGAAGAUACACACUUACAAUAUAAAUUUUGCAUUAUUAUUCAGUCCACUUUAGAACUCUGGAAAAUUCAGUGGUAUCCCUACAAUUAUCAUCGUCAAACUGUGAUACCUAAAAGGAAAUGUUACAUCAUUUUGUAAAAUCCUUUCAUGUCUUCUCUUGACCUCAAAAGGAAAAGUAUGACCUCAUGUGGUGGUGCACACCUAUCAUCCCAGAGAUUUGAGAGGCUGAGCGAACAGGAGCACAAGCUCAAGGCCAGCCUCAGGAACCUAGUGAGACCAUGCUUCAAAGUGAAAAAUAAAAAGAACUGGGGAUGUGGCUUAGUGAACAGCACUGUGUGAGGAUGAAGAGAUACAUCACAUACAAGGAAAAUGAUCUCAUUGCUAAGGAGCCCCAAAUAAACUACGGACUCGAGAGAGAAUUUCCAAGAGUGGAAAGGUACAGAGUAAAGUGCCUUAGCCAAGGGCCUGGAGAAGGAGACCUUCACAUGGAAGCCUGUGGGCUAGGAAUAUGGAUGCUACGUUUAAGCAUAGCUGGGCCAAAGCAGGGGAUGGUUUUGGGGUUUCUCACUGAAUGCCAAUCUCUGCAGAAAACUAGAAUGCACUGGCUGUAGGGAGGGUAGCUCCCACUAUGGGGCCUGAAGGCAAAGCUUGGUGAGGCCUGAAAAAACAGACAGAGGAUUUUGACUGAAGCAGCAAUUGUCAGGGAUAAAUCUACUGUUUAAUGAAAAUGGAAUGGUAGAAGGACUAUUCUGGAGGAAAGCCUGAGACAUGAGAAUGUGAAGAAAGGAAGUAAAUAUCCAGUGAUUAUGUUAGUAUGAUGGUAUCUCUGAAAUGUACUCUUCCUGGAAAUAAAAGAAAGACUGUUUGUACCAAAGAGGUCAGCUGAGUAUAAGACCCAAACUUUCAGUGACCCCAAUACAUUUCUUAUUAAGAAGGAAUUUUUCAUUUUUGAUUCUUUGUCAUUAGAACAUUUGAUGAAAAGUGCUCAAUUAAAUGAAUUAAUGAAUUA